rnacentral:rRNA from 1 species
UACGAAGGGGGCUAGCGUUGCUCGGAAUUACUGGGCGUAAAGAGCGCGCAGGCGGUCGAUCAAGUUGCGUGUGAAAGCCCCCGGCUCAACUGGGGAGGGUCACGCGAUACUGAUCGACUCGAAGGCAGGAGAGGGUAGUGGAAUUCCCGGUGUAGUGGUGAAAUGCGUAGAUAUCGGGAGGAACACCAGUGGCGAAGGCGACUACCUAGCCUGUUCUGACGCUGAGGCGCGAAAGCUAGGGGAGCAAACGGGG